rnacentral:rRNA from 1 species
CCUACGGGGGGCAGCAGUGAGGAAUAUUGGUCAAUGGACGAGAGUCUGAACCAGCCAAGUAGCGUGAAGGAUGACUGCCCUAUGGGUUGUAAACUUCUUUUAUAUGGGAAUAAAAUGUUCCACGUGUGGGAUUUUGUAUGUACCUUAUGAAUAAGGAUCGGCUAACUCCGUGCCAGCAGCCGCGGUAAUACGGAGGAUCCGAGCGUUAUCCGGAUUUAUUGGGUUUAAAGGGAGCGUAGGUGGAUUGUUAAGUCAGUUGUGAAAGUUUGCGGCUCAACCGUAAAAGUGCAGUUGAAACUGGCAGUCGUGAGUACAGUAGAGGUAGGCGGAAUUCGUGGUGUAGCGGUGAAAUGCUUAGAUAUCACGAAGAACUCCGAUUGCGAAGGCAGCUCACUGGACUGCAACUGACACUGAGGCUCGAAAGUGUGGGUAUCAAACAGGAUUAGAUACCCGUGUAGUC